rnacentral:misc_RNA from 1 species
AGUUUAUUCUACAGUUCGAAAAAAUGAGGGUGGUUUGUAUUUUAGCGAUAUUGCUCAGUUUAUCUGAUGCAGAACCAAUCUCAUCGUUCCUUACUGAUGGAGAAAACAAGACUUCAACAUCAUUGGAGACCAAAGACCAGGAAUGGAACGAUUUGGGCAUCCUUCGUCAGAUAAUUAACCAAGAGACAGCUAUCCGCCUCACUUUGGUCAAAAAUGUCCAUGCACUGGUAAAUGACGUCGCCCUUAUUAAGAAAAGUCUAGCAGCAAGUGAAGCAAGAUUUACCAGACAACAGCAGAUGAUUGAUGCAUUAAAGAUUCAGGUGAAAUCUCUUCAACAGGAAAAUAACGAACUAAAGAACAGUAGCAGGAUAAGUGAGGCCAGGAUCAUGGAGCUCGAAACUAAUUUACAAUCAGUUAACAAGAACUUUAGUACUCUGCACGACGAAUUAAACGUCAUACAGAAAGAUUCAGACGACAAAAGGCGGGGAAUGUUUAACAAAAUUCAUAGUGUUCUCGAUGAUAUCAAAAUAGAGGUACGCUAUCUUUCGGUCACGCUGUUAGAUUUCAAGGAAAGCACGGAGACUGAAAAUGAGUCGAGAGAAAAAAAAUACGAAGAACUUGAACGGCAUUUUAACAAUUCAUUUGAAGAAUUAAAAGCGGAAAUCUUUCAAAACAAACUCAACCUCACCAAUAACAAAGUGCUCAUUCAAAAUCUAGAUGAUUCUCAAUCGGAAAUUAGAGGAACCUUCACAGGUAUUUACACAGGGUUGUCUCUAAGACCCGGGAGGCGGGGAAUUCCCCCGCCUAAAGUGACGUAAUUACCCGGCUAUUAUUGCAUUUCAAACACAAUCUAGUUAUAAGCUAGACCUUCAGAUCCCCUUCUACUUUCUUAUUUCUCCCUUCUACUUCAAUUUUUAGAGACAACGCUGUUUACAUGUCUUGUUUAUCGUAAGAAAAUAGAAAUGUGCUUGCUUUGAUUAAAAAAAACCCCGAAGAGUCGCUGUAAAUGGUUUUAGUUAAUUGUGUCCAUGGUAGCAGAGCACUAGUUUGUUAAGAAUUCCAUCUUAAGCAGAAGCAGGCAGGAACGAUAUUUUAUUUGUUAAAUUUGUUUUUUCCUAGUAUACAAACCUGUGGGCAGACCUUUAAAAUUUCGAACACUGGUUUAUCUGUACAAUAACACAGUUUUUAAAAGUUUUUUGUACAAGAUUAGAUUUAUUUAUCAUUAUUCUUUAGGAAAAUGUAUUAUUUGUCAUAUAUAACCAUUUUGUAUUGUCUAUAUAUUUGUAUGAAUUGGUUUUAGAACAUGUUUAAUUCAUUUUUUCAGAAAUCUUGAAUAGAACAGUCACUAAGCUUGAAACACAGUUAAAAACGUCGGAGUAUGAGCAGCUUAAACUAUCGUCUGCUGUGGCUUCUUUGGAAGUGGCCAGCAUGAACUUGUCCAGAUUGAACUGCGAUAAGAGUAACCACCAUGCAUUUUCUGCGGGUAUAUCAUUAAGUAACUCGGAUUGGUCAGGAGACACGCUAGUGUUCCCCGUAGUAAUCUACAGUGAAGGAACAGGCUACAACCCCAGUACUGGUAUCUUUACAGCGCCGACAGCGGGGACAUAUGUGUUCUAUGUCUCUGUUCAGUCUGCCUCUCAAAAAUACAUCUAUUUAGACAUAGUUCUGAAUGGAUCCAGUAAGGUCUUGGCCAUGGCUUGGUACGACAGUGGAAGGAACGUUAGAAUUCACCAGACCGGAACUAACCUUGUUAUCUUACAUCUUCAGAACGCUGACAGAGUGUGGGUCAAAAGGCACAGUGGUACCGGUUACUACAGUUAUAGUACUCACAUUACAACGUUCUCUGGAUUUAAACUUUACUAGUUAAAAUGAUUUAAUUGAGAUCAAUCUCUAUAAUUAACAGAAAUAUAAGGAAUAUUUUAAAAAAAUGGUUCUUUUUUGCUGUGUUCAUAAUUUUUUUUCUGAUUUGACUGAUGUAUUCCAUCGAUCUAGAACCUUCUUUUACAGCACAUAUUGUAUUUUAUCAUAGGAUUAAAAUGUGUCAGAACAAAUAUAAUAAAGAAUUUUGAAAGG